rnacentral:lncRNA from 1 species
GGGUUUGGUAAUGGGUAAUUUUAAUACUUGGAAAAAAUUUUGAAAAUAAUUUAUAGUAUAGCUUAAUAAAAGUUAUAUCUGUAUUAUAUAUAAAAAUAAUAAAUAAAAAUGUAUAAUUUUUAUUCGAAUUUUGAAUCGAAUCGAAUUUGAAAUUAUAAAUUCGUAUUCGAUUCGUAUUUGAUUUACUUGACUCGAAUUGAAUCGAAUUCGAAUUCGAAUUCUUAUAAUCGAAACGAAUUCUUGAUAAUCGAAUCGAAUUUAAACGAAAUUCGAAUUUUUCGAAUUCAAAACGAAUCCUGAACACCCCUAAGAAAGAAUGCUCACAUGCCCAAGACUCUGAGUGCAAAUGAGGUUAGGAUAAUACUUCUCCAGUUGCUCUUUACGCAUAAUAAUUUCUUCGGAAUAUUAAAAGAUAGGAAAUUUGCAUACCACAUUCAUGGCUGAUUCAAGCGAUUCAUAUCUGACUUUCAAAUCAGCGUCCAUCUUUUCAACCUUAGCCUUAUCUAAAAGUUUACAACUUUAGUAUCAAACGAUACAAAAAAACGAUCUAAUAAUAUCACUAACAUAUAUUAACCUUUUGCAAGUUGUUCUUUACGAAAAUGUAGCUUCUCUCUUAAUGUUGCAAGCUUCUCUUGUUGAAGGACUCUCCAACUAAGUUGAUCAUCUGCCUUACUCUGAAAAAUCGGAAUUAGAAAAUAACUGGUUUUUAGC